rnacentral:lncRNA from 12 species
AGCAGUUUCCUCCUCAAAGUCCCAAUUCUCUCAGUGGGGCACGGGCUAGGGCCACGGGGAAGUGGGGAGCAGGAGGCUGGAGGGCACGGCUGCCAGGGCCACCGGGGCCGAGGUGAGGCCCCCGGGAGUGCAUGCCCAGUGCCCGGUUCCCGGCACCGUCCUCUACCUCCCGUCCACACCCCAGCUGCACGGGAGCCUCCUCUGGCUGCGGGUCAUUUACUGCCGGGGCUGUGGCCGAGGGGACCUGCGCUGAGUAACGCACUUUCAGCGUCCGGCUCUUCGGCGUGGAGGGCGGUCACAGCGUGCAGCCGCCGCCAAGCAUCCCUCCUCCUGCAGAUCCCGCAGGCAAACAGCGAGAGUCCCCCCGGCCGCCGCCCCCCGUUUCGCUGUGUCUCUGACUGUGCCGCCCUCAGAACCACAGCAAUCACGAUGCCCCGGGAGAACAACCUCUGCACCUGGAUGGAUGGUCUUUGCAGCCAGUGACAACCCACCUUACCGACCAAGGUCUUCCAGGUUGACCCCGGGAGCUAGAAUGUUCCCUUGUCCCGCCUCGUCGCUCUGUCACUGCACCACUCAGCCCCGUCCAGGGCCACCAGUAACAAAAAUCGAAGACCUCAGGGAGUCCCACGGCGAGUUGAAGCAGGCCUAGAGGUUCCAGAAGUCCUCACCCUGCUUUACUCUGACAGCUGCGGGCUGCAGUGGCAAGGUCUCCUGCGGGCUCAUUUUGAGCUCAUCUUUGUAAAAAAAAAAAAAAAAAAAAAAAAUCAGAAGUUUUCUAAGCAAUAGAACUGAAAAAUCCAUUCCCAUCUUCCUCCUUUUCUCCUUGAUGACCCAAUCUGUCUUUUUGAUCUGGAAUCUAUGCAAAUAUGAAGCCCUGUUCACGUUUCCGUCUCGUGCCCCCGUUUGCCCCGAGUCUUUGUUGGCAUCGUCCCAAGUGUUCACGCUCCGAGGUCGCAGCCCCAUCCCUGGGUAGCUGCCUGGCCUCCCUCCUGCCUGCCAUUGCUGCCUGCUGCUCGCCGCCCGUUGCCUUUCACUGGCUCCGCUGGGCUCGGGGCUGCCCAGUGACCCGGCCGCUGUGCUAGGCCUACACACAGACCUGUUGGUUUCUCCAAGUAGCCUCUUUCGAUACCAUUUCGCCGUCCACAUUUUACUGCCUUCCAUUUAUUUUUUCCUCCUUGUCUACUUCCUGUUGCGACCCGGCCUGUUAGAAGCACUUAGGAGGCAGGCAGCCUUGGGACGCCACCGCGCUACUGGAGCCCACCGCGCUACUGGAGUCCUCGCAAGUGUCCUAAGCGACAGUGUCCUUCAACUGCAAAUGUGCAGGCGGCCUGGCAAGGUGCCCGCUGACUCUGGGACAGCCCUGUCCUCAGAGGCUGUGGGGGGAAUCGACCUUGCUUAAUAAAUAGAAUAACCAGACAUAAUUAACUGUAAAG